UAUAUUCUCUGUUUUUUUUGUCCGAGUGUCUGAUGAUGCCUCUUCUGUCAUAUAUUGUCAAAACAUCUGCCUUUUCUAUACUUGGUCUCUAAGUCCCAAUCUUGUGUCUGCUUUUUAUGUUUGCUCCUAAUAUGUAUAUUUCUGGUGUGCCCAUCUGUCUUGCUUUACUAAUUGACUUUGUAUAUUACGUCUGUGCAUCUCUGAUCUCUGUAAAUUGGGUGAUGAUCCUCUCUUACCAAUGUUUGUGCCUCAGCUAUUAUAGCUUAUGUUAUCAUGUUUCUCUAGUUCUCCA